rnacentral:rRNA from 1 species
GAAGCUUGAGGAAAUCUGUCCCUAGUACGAGAGGACCGGGACGGACGAACCUCUGGUAUACCAGUUGUUCCACCAGGAGCACCGCUGGAUAGCCACGUUCGGACAGGAUAACCGCUGAAAGCAUCUAAGCGGGAAACCCCCUCCAAGA